GCAGAGCCAGUGUAGUGGUUUGAGCAUUGGACUAUGACUUUGCUGGCCAGGGUUCAAGUCCCUGCUCAGCC